UAAUCUACUUACUCAAUGUCAAGUUCACCAAAGGAAUUUGGGAUCAGGAUCACAUUUAACAUUCUGUGCUCUAUGGGCCUGAAGGUGAAUUUAACCUAUAGGAAGACAGAGAGUUAGCAAUGGGGUGUCGACAAUCCAAACCUGAGUCGCUUUAAGGAGAAGAAGGGCAAAUUGAGGAUCCCAAACAUUUUAAUUUUUGCCUCCUUUCCCUGAGGAAGCUUAUGUUUUUUGUUCCUGUCUCCACCUGUUUGAACCUGAAUUACCACUUAAUCAACAUCUAUAUUUAAGAAAGAAAACAGAAGACAAGAACAGUGGACAUGGAAAUAGGAACUUCGAGAACAACUUGUAGGCUGGAAAAUGAGGCACAGAAGUAACCACUAUUGGUAACACAAUUUUAAAUCCAAAAUGAAAACAUAAAAUUGAUACAGAAUCACACAGAGAUGCAGAAGCUAGUAUGAUGACCAGAAUAGUAAAGAGAAAAAGGAGACUGGAAGAAAAAAAAUCAGAUUUCAUGGAGAAUGUCUACAGGAAUUAGGUGUGACAAAGCAAAACAAAAAUUCUGUGUUUGUUGUGACACAAACAUUUAAAAAAUAAUAAGUUAGAAAUAUUGAGACAUUUUCAGCAAAUACAUAGUGAAUUCGGUAAGUUUUUUCUCAACAUUCAAAAAGAAUUGGUGUAACUCAUGAAAAGGUGUCCAAUAUCACUAGUCACUUGGGAAAUGCAAAUCAAAAUCACAAUGAGAUACUGCUUCACAUCCAUUAGGAUGGCUAUUGUCCUCCCCACUCCAUCACAAGAACAGCAACAACAAAACCCCAGAAAAUAACAAGUUUUGGUGAAGAAAAAUUGAAACUUUUGUACAUUUCUAGUGGGAAUAUAAAAUGGUUUAAUCACUGUGAACAACAGUAUGGCAAUUCCUCAAAAAACUAAACAUAGAAAUACCAU